rnacentral:lncRNA from 1 species
AAAGCAUAGGAAGCCAACGUUGGCUUCUUCCCCAUGAGAGACACUAGCCUGAGUGGUUUUGGAAAUAUACGCCUUGAUCAGAUUUGCACUAUGACUCCUGAAUACAUGAGCCAUCCAAGCAACACCUGCUCUCCUGACAGGUCAUCAGGGACUGACAGGAAAAGGAUCCAUCAAUUCCAUUCUCUCCAGAGAGAUCACCCAGACCUAGUGCUAAAUGUACAGUUCAAUGACAUGUUAAAAAGUAAAAUUCCACCCACCAAAACCUACCAGUUACCAGAGGUCAAUAUUUAAAAUGAAGACCCUAAUAAUGGAAAUUAGCAUAAAAUUAAUUUUUUUCCCCCAACUGGACUGUAAUCCAACUAAACACUCAAAAAAGUACCACUUAUAUCAAGGGGAGAAAGAUGGAAAGGAGUGAAACUCCUAAUUAAAUUGUGUCACCAAUUUAUUGCUAAGGGUGUGAGUUUUGGGCUCUAUUUCUUAUGAUGGGGUAGAAAUACAAUUGCUUCCUACCCUAAAACUGUGAAUUACUUAUUUUGGAUUAUAGUCAGUUUGGGCAUGCGAUUUUAUAACACAAAAACUGUAAAUAUGUAAGCGAUCAUAUUUUCAUUCAAAGUAAUUAGCUUCCUUUUCAUCAGCAAACGGAAGUAUAGAUCCUUUAUAUUUGGCCUAUUUAUAUACAUUUCCUGUUUUGGUUUCCACUUAUUUUCCUAUUAAACAUUACUUAGCUUUCUCUCUCUAAAUG